GUUAUUGUAAAUUCGGAGAAGUGCCGGAGGAUAAUUACGUUCCGAUUCAUCUAUUCCUUCCAGAGGUGAGAAUUUGGUCAGUUCACUGAACGGGCUUUUCUUGCCCCACAACUAACUACAACCGCAUCUCGCUAAAGCCAAAUGCCAUUUACAGUUGAUUUCUGAUAGAUCUUGAGAGACUUAUUAUUAGACCACAAUCUGCUGGAAAGAUCUUCGGUGCGACGCUGGAUUUAUUGUAUGGAAUUUUCCACACUUGUGCCGGAUGAGGGAGGUACGGUAAUAUUAUUGCCUUGUUGUUGUUUUAAAGGCAAAAAUGGUGGUUCUUCUGGGCUGAAUAUAGGGGGUUUACAUCUUCAUAGGGUGGCAUUCAUUGGCUUCUUGUCCUGGGUCACUGCGGAGCGGAGUCUCAAACAGCUGCAAAUCAUGUCCUAGGAUUCCUUUGCCUCUCUGAUUUAUCAGAUUCAUUAACAAGCUGUUCUGAAGGGGUAAACAGUCUGUUAAUUAGAUUUACGUGUGAUUACUAAAUUGGAAGCAGUUGUAUUACAGGUAGGCGAGAUUCGGUGCCAAGUGAUGCAGAGGUCAGGAUUGUGGGUAAGAAGUACUUUCCUACUUUCCCUCCUCCAAUAGUCAGCGUAGCAUUCCCUGCCCAUUGAGCAUGCUCUGUCCUCAUUGGUUUGUCUUGGAGUUUGUUUGUUUACCCUCUUAGGAUCUUCCUAUAUAUAUGUGUGUGUGUGUGUAUGAGUACACACACACAUAUAUAUAUACAUACAUACAUACAUACAUACAAUCCCCACUUUUGUGCAGAGGUUUCUGAUUGUGUAAGAAUCCACAUUUUUGUUUUGUUUUGUUUUUAAUUUUGGUGAAGCCGCUUCUCUCUCCCACCUCCCACCCCUUGCUCUGAUCCUUCUUCUUCUUCCUCUUCUGAAAUGAAUUUUGAAAUAAACUGCACUCUUGGGUAUAAUUAACAGAGUGUGUGUUCUGUGUGUAAACAGUGGAAGAACCUUCAGGAAACUUGGGAGUCCUCUGAGGGGAAGCUCUGUGAAAGACAACUUCCAGGUUGAAGCAUUUUUAUUUAUUUUUUUUUUCCUAGAGAAAAUGCCAAAGCAAAAAAAUGGGCAAAGUUGCCGCUGGGUGAUUUUAUUUAUGCACGGAAUGCAUAAAUAAAUGUAAAGAGAUGACUGGGGAGGGGCAGUGAUGUGUUUGGAGGUAAGCUGUCUCCAACAGUGGAGGCAGAACAUAGCCGCAGUGGCGUAGCGUGGGGGGUGCAGGGAGGGCCGGCCGCACCGGGCGCAACAUCUGGGGGGGGUGCUCGCACUCGCAGCUCUCUGCCCCUACCUGGCUCCACGGGUUAGGGGGCGCAAAUUACUUGCCUUGCCCCGGGUGCUGACAACCCACGCUACGCCACUGCAUAGCCAUGAUAACAACUGAUAGCAAUAUGCAUCCUAAAUUUGCCUUACUCCCCUGGGCUCCUUUGGGAGAAGGAUGGUGUAAAAAACUGAAAAAAUAAAUAAAACAAUACAUGAAAUACAGUCACCAAGUUAAUGGCUAUCACUGCAUCAUCCCGAGGCAGAACAGUGUAACUGUGCUCUAGCGCAUCCUGAAUUUUCUACCAUUCAGCUUCAUUGGAUUGAUUUAUUUCAUAGAAUCAUAGGGUUGGGACACCCAAGGGUCAUCUAACCCAACCCCCUGCAAUACACGAAUCUCAGCUAAAGAAUCCCAGACAGAUGGCCACCCAAAAUGCUGGUUAAAAACAACCAAGGAUAACCCACCACCUCCAAGGAACUCUGCUCUGCUGAUGAAUAGCUCUUACUGUCAGAUUUAUUUAUUUCAUUAAAAUUACACACUACUUCUAAAUAAACAGACCUUAAAGCAGUUUACAAAAAAAGAUAAAGCAAGAGUUCUAACAUUACUGGGGGUGGGGAUUCUCUUAAAUUGCUGUCUCCAUGCCAUUUGUAGUAAUACACACAUCUAUCAUGUCCCUGCCUUACUGAGAAUUAUAGAUUGUAGAGGUGGAAGGGACCCUUAGGAUCAUCUAGUCCAGGGGUCUGCAAGGUUUACCUCACCUGGGCAGUUCACUCCAGUGGAGACCCCUCUGUGGGCUGGAUUUCCAGCGUCUGUGUCUGCACGGACAUUAUUUUUUGUGUUUGUGUCUGUGCAGAUGCAAUUUCCGGCCCCACGGAAGCGAGUCCUCGUGCUGCGCUGCGGCGAUUUAGUGCCGCUCACGGGGACUCACUUAAACGACCCCCAGAUAAAUGACCCCCGUGGGCCACUUGUGGCCCAUGGGCCUUAGGUUGCCUACCCCGAUCUAGAACAUGGGUAGAGAAACUAAGGCCCAAUUGCCUUCUAAAUCUGGCCUGUGGAUGGUCCAGAAUCAGCAUGUUUUUACAUGAGUAAAAUGCAUCUCAGGGUUAUUUGUGGGGCCUGCCUGGUGUUUUUACAUGAGUAGAAUAUGUCCUUUUAUUUAAAAUGCAUCUCGGGGUUAUUUGUGGGACAUAGGAAAUCAUUCUUUCUUUCUUUCAAAAUAUAGUCCGGCCCCCCACAAGGUCUGAGGGACAGUGGACCUGCUGAAAAAGUUUGCUGACCCCUGUAGUCCAGCCCCAUGCGAUGCAGGAAUAUGUAGUAGUCCCAAACGGGGGAUCAAACCUGCAACCUUGGCAUUACCAACACAGUGCUCUAACCAGCUGAGCUGUCCAGGCUGUGCUUGCCUUUGUCCUGAAUUUUCAAUGCAGCUCACACCACAUAAAAACAUAACUUUAAAUUCACAGUAUAAAAGGUUGAAAGCAAACCUAUAAAAAUAAAAUAAAAAGCUAAUAAGUGAUGGCAUUAAAAUAAAAGGCUGUUAGAAGCUUGCAAGCUUGAGUGGGAUGUCAUCAUCUUGGGGGAUGGUGCCUCUCCCUGGUCAACUGAAAUUAGAAACCCUUUCCAGCCUAAGGGAGAGGCAGUUCUCUUUCCACAAGGGCUGCCAUUGCUGCCGAAAUCCAGCAUCACCUGAGCUCUGCAAGUGCAGUUUUCUCCCGUUUGAAGUGUAGAGUGUUUGAGGACCGGACAUUUGCAAGGAAACCAAAAUGCUUAUUUACAAAGCUACUGUACCACCAACUUCACUGUGAAACAUGGACCACUCAUAAAUGCCAACUCCAGCCCCUUGAAAGAGUCCAUCCACGGUGUCUCCGAUAAUUUUUAACAUCACUUGGGAAGACAGGCGAACUAAUAUCAGUGUACUGGAAGAAGCAAAGAGCACCAGUGUGGAAGCAAUGAUUCUUCAACAUCAACUUUGUUGGACUGGUCACGUUGUUCGGAUGCCUGAUUAUUGUCUUCCAAAGCAAUUACUCUAUUCUCAACUUAAGAAUGGAAAGUGUAAUGCUGGUGGACCACAAAAGAGAUUUAAAGAUGCUCUCAAGAAAACCUUUAAAAAUGUAGCAUAAACACUGACAACUGGGAAACACUGACCUGCAAGCGUUCCAAUUGGAGAACAGCUCCUACCAAAGGUGUCAUGGACUUGGAAGAAGCAUGAACUCAGGACGAAAGGGAGAAACAAGCUAAGAGAAGGCACAUUUGGCAAACUGUCACUAUGACCAACUCCUGUCCAGAAACCUAUGUCCCCACUGUGGAAGGAUGUGCGGAUCCAGAAUUGGCCUCCGCAGUCACUGUUAAGACCAUGGAAGACAAUCUUACUCAGAUAUGAGUGAUCGCUAAAGAAGAAGCAUGGCCAUAAAUGAGUGGGUGGAGCCAUGGAUGUGACUUUCACCUCCAUACAGUAGGUUGCAUUUCAGCCCCGCAAAAGCCAGAGGUUUCAACACACAGUCUUCUCUCUCAUGCAAGCAAGCAAGAGGGAGAGUUGCAAUUCAAGGACUCUUUGCAGGCCAGCAAAAGCACUCAAAGGGAAGGUGUGGAAAACAGCUGGAGUGGAGAAUCCUGAGGGCCAAAUACUGGAGGACCACAUUUGAGGCUGUCUACCCCUGCAUUCUAGGGACGCGGGUGGCGCUGUGGGUUAAACCACAGAGCGUAGGACUUGCCGAUCAGAAGGUCGGCAGUUCGAAUACCCGCGACGGGCUGAGCUCCCGUUGCUCGGUCCCUGCUCCUGCCAACCUAGCAGUUCGAAAGCACGUCAAAGUGCAAGUAGAUAAAUAGGUACUGCUCCGGCGGGAAGGUAAACGGCGUUUCCGUGCGCGGCUCUGGUUCGCCAGAAGUGGCUUAGUCAUGCUGGCCGCAUGACCCGGAAGCUGUACGCCGGCUCCCUCGGCCAAUAAAGCAAGAUGAGCACCACAACCCCAGAGUCGGCCACGACUGGACCUAAUAGUCAGGGGUCCCUUUACCUUUACCUUUACCUACCCCUGCAUUAGAGCCUUGAGACAGAUGGUCCUGGAUGUGAGCUUGUCUUGACAAGGACGUACUGCAUUUGGAGAUGCUGGUUCAAACUCCAUGCUCCUACCUUCCCAGCCUUAUCCCGCUUAGUGGCCUAAUAAUGUUUAGUGGAGUAAGAAUUGUGGGUGGAAGAGCAAUUCAAUUAUAAUAGUAAUAAUAGCUCUGUACCCAUCCCCUUAGUUUAACCACUCAUAUCUCCCAGCAUGUUUUACUGUUGAGGUAAUGGAUAACUUUUAUUCAUUUCGCAUUCAUAGGCAGACUUCUGUAAUUCUCAGUUUAUGAAACUGCAUGCCAACCAAAACAGAACCAUCCUUUGAAAUCCAUACCUUUCUGAUUUUUGCAAUGCAUUCUCCACCAAAUAACAUGGACAAAAAUGCACAGGCUAGGGUAAAGUGUGCAGAAAAAUGCAUAUAUUGGUGAAAAUAGGGUACGAAAUGUAUUACAGAUGGGGAAAUUGGUUUGCAAAAUUGUGUGUAUUAGGAGAAAUUAGCACUAAAAUUCUGGUCAAUACUCAGCAGGGGCUUCUUUAAAAUAAAUCAAUUGCAAACUAAUGUGGGAAUGUGGAGGCAUAAAUUUAAGAUGGGGAAAUUGAGAAAAACUGAAAGUGAAAGAUUGGCCCACCCCUGGGUGGGGUUGUCAUGAACAUAACAUAAGGAAUGAGGGGGGGAAAUGCUCCCUGGGUAAAUUUGAGGUUGCAUUCCGUCUGAUGAUAUUUUGUAUUUAAAGAUUUUCAGUAUGACAGCAUGACAAUCAGCUUUGAGCACACCACAAAGAAUACAGAGCCUGUAAUGUGUGUAUGUCUUUCCUAAGCUGCUUUGGGAGACUCUUGGGGCUAUAAAGUGGAAUAUACAAGCGUACUCAAUGAAUAAAUAGAAUUAGGGAAGGACAUUGUGCUAGAGCUGUAAAAAGAAAAAGAAUGACUGUAAGCCCCCAACAUGCCUUACUUGUGUGAAGGAGCAAAGUGUAUUGAAAGAGACUGUUGGGCAAAUGGGACCACUUUUUGCAGUCUGUUAAGGUGCUGAGAGGAGAUCCCCAUCCCCCUCUCAGAUCUACAAUUCCCAGAGUGGCUAAACGGUCAAUCCCUCUUCACAAGGAAUUCUGGGAAUUGUAGCUCUGAGAGGGGGACGGGGACUCCUAGCACCCCCCAGAACCCUUAACAAACUACAGCUCCCAGGAUUCUUUGGGGGAAGCCAUGACUUGCCAACAAAGGUCCGUAUAGUUAAAGCUAUGGUUUUCCCAGUAGUGAUGUAUGGAAGUGAGAGCUAGACCAUAAAGAAGGCUGAUCACCAAAGAAUUGAUGCUUUUGAAUUAUGGUGCUGGAGGAGACUCUUGAGAGUCCCAUGGACUGCAAGCAGAUCAAACAUAUCCAUUCUUAAGGAAAUCAGCCUUGAGUGCUCACUGGAAGGAUGGAUCGUGAAGCUGAGGCUCCAAUACUUUGGCCACCUCAUGAGAAGAGAAGACUCCCUGGAAAAGACCCUGAUGUUGGGAAAGAUUGAGGGCACAAGGAGAAGGGGACGACUGGUUGGGCAGUGUUGUUGAAGCUACCAGCAUGAGUUUGACCAAACUGUGGGAGGCAGUGGAAGACAGGAGUGCCUGGCGUGCUCUGGUCCAUGGGGUCACGAAGAGUUGGACACAACUAAACAACAACAACAUGACUGUUUAAAGAGAUAUCAUAGUGUUUUGAAUUUAUGGUGUGGAGAUGACUUCUGUUUGUUGGGGCUUGUCCUAAGUAAGGGUGCUUGGGUUUUGGUCAUGGGCUGCCCAUGAACAUCCUCUUGGCCACUGUGAGAAUAGAGGGCUGCAGUGGCAUAGUGUGGGGAGCGGGGAGGGGAGUGGUCCUGGGUGCAAAUUUAUGAGGGGGCGCAACUAGGUUCCCUCACAACAAGUUCCCUCAUUGAGACUGGAGCUGAGGGGAGAGAAGCCGCCCCUGAGUUGGGCCUUCAGGGCUGGGGCGCUUCCACCUCGUGGUCAGGAAGGGAUGGCUGAACACGCCCCAUCCUUGAACUGGCCAAGAGGGAGGAAGGGGGAGGGAGCCGCCACCACACGUCAAGGGGGGAGGGGAAGCCGAGGAAGCACUGCUGGGGCCAUGUGCGCUGCCCAGAGUGCCUCGCUGCAAGCACAGGAGGGCAAGGCGGCAAAGCAGUGUUCCUGGCUUCAUGUUUCUCUGCCUUAGCUCUGUUCCCAGGUUGGGGCUAGUCCUCAAGGGGAGAUUCCCUUUGCUGGCUGGCAAAGGGACUGACUGUUGCCCAGUCUAUGGGGAAGGGGAGGCUCAACACUUGCCCUGCCCCGGAAAAGGACAAUAGGGAUUUUGAAAAAGAGUGGGAACCUUUUAUACUAUAUUUGCAGAAACAAAGGAAGAGUAUUGACCCGAUGGUAGAAUUUAAAUAAACAUUCACAACUUUAUGGAUGGGGAACAGAUAAUGUAAUAAAAGGAAAAAUAUGUUAUUUGUAGAAAAUAGCAGAAUAUAAUAAUGAGGACAAUAAAUCAGAAAUGGAAGUUGAGGGAAGUCCAAAGGGGCGGAGGGAGAGAUGUUGUGUGGAUUGUAUGUUAUAAGUAUAUUUGUAAUGAGAAAAAAGAAAAUCAAUUAAAAGUUUUUUUAUAUAUAUAAAAAACACUUGCCCUGCCCCGGACAUCGCAACCCCUGCUACGCCCCUGGAGUGCUUAGCUAGGUAGGGCCCUCAGAAGCAUAGAAUUGUAGCAUUGGAAAGAACCCCAAGGGAUAUCUAGUCCAACCCUCUGCAGUGCAGGAAUCACAGCUGAAGAACCCCUGACAGAUGUCCACCAUCUUCCCAGGGAGUCUUUUCCACUGGUGGACGGUUCUUACUGUCGGUAAGUUCUUCCUGGUGUUUAGUCGGAAUCUUCUUCCUUGCCAUGUGAAUCUGUUGGUUUAGGUCUUACCCUCUGGAGCAGCAGAAAACAAGCUUGCUCCGUCUUCCAGCUGACAGCCCUUGGCCUGAUCCAGCCAGGCUUUUCUUAAGUAACUGUGCAUAGGAUUGGGACCUUAGCUUAGGCGACUCUGGCUUUUCCGUAGGGAGACCUUUGCAUGCCGUAGAUGGAGGUGUGCUUGACUCUUCCAUCGUCUUAGCAACUGGGGCAAUGUUGGCAGAAGGUGGUCAGAAUGCGUCGGGUUUUUCCUCUCCUCCCCGCUCCCAAAAUGAGCUGGAUUAUCCUCAAAGCCUCUUGCCUGCCGGAUCAUGGAAAAUUCCUCUGAGAGAGCAGCCGUGCUUGAUCAGGCGCCAAGAGAAACAGGGCGCCGCCAAAGCUUUGUCCGUAGGGGCAAUGACCACCGGAGAUUGCUGCGAGGAUCUUCCUACAGCUGCAUAUUAAUUCCUGCCAGCAAUUCUAGAGAUCCAGGCAUCAGAAAAAUCACAGCAGAAAACAGAGCAGCCUAUGACUGAAGGAAACAGUUCCAAGAUAGAGGGCUCAUUCAUUCAUCCUUUCCUUCCUUCCUUCAUUGUGCUUAUGUCCCACUUUUCAGGCAAACCUCACAAAGCUGUUUUGUUCAAGGUCAGUUCCUCUUACCUGAGGGAUGGCUCGGCUAGGGGAUCGAGGAAGAGAGAGAGAGCGCAUCUGUAAGGGAAAGGGCCAGCUAUGUUGCAGAGGUGGGGAACCCUCUUCCCACCCAAGGGCUGCACAUUCCCAUUGGGGAGAUAUUCCAGGGGCCUCAUGGUGGGAUGGGCAGGGCCAGGCGCAGAAGCAGGUGGUGCAACGCAUUCAAAUUCUACCUUUGUAGACCAGUUUCCACACAUGCUGCUCUCUGUGCAAGAAGCAUUAUCGGACUGCAAGGACACAAUCUAGCCAGGGAAAAUCACCCGAGGGGCAGGCAAAACAAGGCUGGUGAGGGGUGUGGCCUUAGGAGAGGUGCUGUGGCUGGGAAGGGCUUGUGACAUCAAGGGAAUCCCAAGGGUGCAAUAGUGACGUUUGUCAUCAAUAGGUAUUUAAAUGCAAAUUUGGUUUUUUGUUGUCAUUGGUUUUUUUAAAAAAUAAUAAUAAUAAUUGCAUAUUAUAUGCUUUGUAAGGGGGUUGGACUAGACAGCGCUUGGGAUGCAUUCCAACUCUUUGUUGUUGUUGUUUAGUCAUUUAGUCAUGUCCGACUCUUCGUGACCCCACGGACCAGAGCACGCCAGGCACUCCUGUCUUCCACUGCCUCCCGCAGUUUGGUCAAACUCAUGUCGGUAGCUUCGAGAACACUGUCCAACCAUCUCAUCCUCCAUCAUCCCCUUCUCCUUGUGCCCUCCAUCUUUCCCAACAUCAGGGUCUUUUCCAGGGAGUCUUCUCUUCUCAUGAGGUGGCCAAAGUAUUGGAGUCUCAGCUUCACGAUCUGUCCUUCCAGUGAGCACUCAGGGCUGAUUUCCUUAAGAAUGGAUACGUUUGAUCUUCUUGCAGUCCAUGGGACUCUCAAGAGUCUCCUCCAGCACCAUAAUUCAAAGCAUCAAUUCUUUGGUGAUCAGCCUUCUUUGUUGUCCAGCUCUCACUUCCAUACAUCACUACUGGGAAAACCAUAGCUUUAACUAUAUGGACCUUUCCAACGCUACAAUUGUAUUAAUUUUAUAUUCUUUUUUUUAAAAAAAAAAAAUUAGUUUAUAAAUGCUGUCGUUUAUACCCCAGUGUGGUGUCGUGGUUAUGGUGUUGGACUAGAAGCUUGGGAAAGAAGAUAAAGUCCCUACCAGAGAAGAAUGGCGGAUCAAGUUGAUGGAUUAUGCCAAAAUGGCUAAAAUGACCAGAAGAAUCAGAAAUCCGGAAGGCCAGAAU
rnacentral:lncRNA from 1 species